UACAGAGGUCUCAAGCGUUGUUCGGAUUCAUUGGGCGUAAAGGGUGCGUAGGUGGCGUCGUAAGUCGGGUGUGAAAUCUCGGGGCUUAACUCCGAAACUGCAUUCGAUACUGCGGUGCUUGAGGACUGGAGAGGAGACUGGAAUUUACGGUGUAGCAGUGAAAUGCGUAGAGAUCGUAAGGAAGACCAGUGGCGAAGGCGGGUCUCUGGACAGUUCCUGACACUGAGGCACGAAGGCCAGGGGAGCAAACGGG
rnacentral:rRNA from 1 species